rnacentral:rRNA from 1 species
GAUGAACGCUGGCGGCGUGCUUAACACAUGCAAGUCGAACGAAGCCGUUUUUUUGAUUUCCUUCGGGACUGAUUAUUUUGUGUCGGAGUGGAGGACGGAGUAAUAACUCGUGGAUAACCUUCCUUGUAGAGGGGGACAACAGUAAGAAACGGCUGCUAAUACCGAAUACACUCACUUCAUAUCAUUUUGAUGCGAGAAAAACUCCGGUGGUAUAAGAGGGAUCCGCGUUGGAUUAGGUAGUUGGUGGGGUAACGGCCCACCAAGACGACGAUCCUUAGCCGAGAGGGGAGGGUGGCCGGCAACAGUGGGAAUGCGAGACGGACCAACCUCCGACGGGAGGCAGCAGUGAGGAAUAUUGAACAAUGGGCGAAAGCCUGAUGCAGCGACGCCGCGUGAGAGAAGAAGUAUUUGUUGAUGUAAAGCUCUAUCAGCAGGGAAGAUAAUGACGGUACCUGAAGAAGAAGCACCGGCUAAAUACGUG